rnacentral:rRNA from 1 species
UACAGAGGGUGCGAGCGUUGUUCGGAAUCAUUGGGCGUAAAGGGCGUGUAGGCGGUUUUGUUAAGUCAUGUGUGAAAUCCCUCGGCUCAACCGGGGAAGGACGCAUGAAACUGGCAAGCUAGAGUACCAAAGAGGGGGGUGGAAUUCCCGGUGUAGCGGUGAAAUGCGUAGAUAUCAGGAAGAACACCCGUGGCUAAGGCGGCUCUCUAGUACGGUACUGACGCUGAGACGCGAAAAGCGUGGGG